ensembl:lncRNA
AACUAUUCUAAUAUUCAUUACAAAAGAAGACACAAUAAAACAUAGCUUGUCAGAUUACGAAGUUCCAGAAUCAACCUUUGGAAGACAAAGUAGGCUUCUGAAUAAACAGAUUAUGUUAUGUAGGGCCAUGCCAGCAGGCAGCCUUAAUUAUGCUCUUUUCUAGCCUGUGAUAUUAUUUCCCAUGAAUUAUUGUGAGCAAACACAUGGGACAGCAACCAGUAAUGUAAUUUUUCAGGUAGUCGCAUUAUGUGGUGGUUCUUUUGCUUUUCUGUUGUGUGGAAGAAUGCCUAAUUUAAUCAUAGUUUUACCAUUUUCCUUAGUUUGAUCCAACUUGUAUCUGAUUUUGUAAUCUUAUCAAGAAUAAGUCUUUAUCUAAUCAGUGAAGCCCAGCAAGUAGGGAGAACCUAGCUUAUGGUUUGGCCUAUGCAAAUGAGAAGCACCCUCUUUGUAUAGACAGAAUGGAAGUUUGGAACCUGUGUAUAUUGCCUUGUGCUGUGACCCAAUGUGAGGAAGGCAACCCGAAUUCAUCUUCUAGCCUUGGGUUUCCCAUGUGUAAAAAUAGCAAGAUUGGUAUUUACAAGAAAAUUAUUUAAAGUAAUAUAAAAUAGUAUAACUUUUUUUUUUUGCGCAAAAAAUCCUGACGUUUUCUCUGUAAAUCUAGGUUAUGUGAAUAGAAAAUUAAAUUCAUUAGGUGAACUGAUUAUUUGAAAUGUCAUUGAUUAGGUUUCCUAUGAGACAGAUUUUCAUCUCUCAUGUUUGUUUAAAACGUAGCAGAGACCAUCAAUAAAGCAAGCCACUGUGCUUCUAAUGGACUUAAUGAAAAAGCAUACAAAGUUUCCAUAUUUUGUUAUAUGAAAAUCUGUUUUGUAGCCAACAUCUGAUAUAACAAUAUAAGUAGAGGCAUGCCAUUUUGAGAUGUCUACUAAAAUCAAGGAAUUAUUCCUCUGAAUCGAUCUCGUAGAAUUUGUCUGCAUUCACCUGAAUGUGUUUUUUAGACCAAGGCUACUGCUAAAAUAUCACAGAAAAGGAAAACGCCUUUGUCAGUUAGUUUUUUAGCUUGAUGUAUAGUAUGCACCUUUCCACUGCUUUUGAUAUCUAAUCAAUUUGAAGUGACCAGAAGUAUUUUCUAACAGUUUCAUUCUAACAUUUCUGACAUCUACUGUCUAAAACGGGACCAAGAUAAUAUGAUGAUUGUUUUCUGAACUACGAAUGCUUUUUCCUUUAGAACCUCCCCCGCCCCCCCUUUAUGGGCAUAUAAUCUGUGACAAACUUGACUUUUUAAGGUAAUUUUCUCAGCGUGACGACCUUGCCAUGGCUAAUCUAUUUUUUCCCCUCGAUCUAUAGGACUGCAAUCAAUCUGAAUAUUUAGGUCUUUCUCCCAUCAAAUGAGAUGUUCUAACAUUAAGGAAGGAUAAUUUUGUUUAUUUAAAUUUUAAUUUUAUUUAAUUCUUAAACAGACAAUAUAUUCAAAAUUCAAAAAGCUUAAAGACUAUUCAUUGAAAUUCUCUCUUCACCCCUGUCCUUUAGCCAACCAGUUUCAUUUUCUGGAAACAGCAAUGUCACUCAUUCUCAUUCCUUGGGUAUUCUUCUAGAGAGAUUCAAUGCUGCAUAUGCAAAAAAAAUACAUCUAUAGAUAUAAAUAUGUUGUAUUCUGGGGACCCUCUAAUGGGUUGUAUAGAAUGUGCCUCAAAGUUACCCGAUUUCCCACAUGGUGUUAACACCCUCCUCCUUCCAGAUCAUAGGAGCAUCAGAACGGCUGAGUAGGUGUCCCAAAAGUCUCAGGCAGUAGCAACAGAGAAGCCAUAGGGCAGAAGUGACAAAUGAGUGGCAUAGCUGAGGAGAGAUGCUGGGAGGCUACUGGAGGUGGUUGCUGGGCAACAGCUUGUAGUAAAACAGUUGAGCCAAGAGGCAGGAGAAAGGGCACAAAGAUGUGCCACAAACAGGCCAUUUUGGUUUGAGUAGUCACAGCCCAUCAGACUUACAGAGAGGUCAAGAAACAGUUGUUGAUGCUGAGGUUCUAGCAUGGAUUUAGAUUUUAAUAAGUCCCUGUAAUUCUGUUUAUUUUAUUUUUUAAUUUUUGGUCUUUUUGUCUUUUUAGGGCCACGCCCGUGGCAUAUGGAGGUUCCCAGGCUAGGGGUCCAAUCAGAGCUGAAGCUGCUGGCCUACACCAGAGCCACAGCAACAUGGGAUCCCAGCCAGGUCUGUGACCUACACCACAGCUUACAGCAAUGCCAGACCCUUAACCCACUGAGCAAGACCAGGGAUGGAAACCACAUCCUCAUGGAUGCUAGUCAUGCUAACUGCUAAGCUAUGACAGGAACCCUGUCCCUGUGAAAAUUCUCAAGAUGAAAGAGACUCAUCUUGAGAGUUUUCACUCUCUGGAUUAAUUGUCGUAUUAGGCUUUCCUAGUUGGCUUUUAUGCAUAAGUGCGGUAAAAUACACACAGCAUAAAAUUUACCACUUUUUAAACUGAAGACGCACAUGCACACACAUAAUCACAGAUGAUUAGUAAAUAAUUGGUGCAGAUCUGUUUUAGAAAUUCACAGCAAAUAUUUAUGGGGAUGAGUAAACAGUGGUGGUAAUAUAACAGAUUCCAAGAAUGAAGUUUCCUGAUAAAGAAAAAAAAAAA